CAAUAUUUCCCCCUUGAAACCCCCAAUUUCACUUUUAAAAAUUCUCCGCCUAGUUGUGUUGCUCCUUCUCUCGUACAAACUUCACUCUUCCUUGUUUAAUUUAUUUCAAUUUUGUUUUGUAUAAAUUUCAAUUUCAUUUUUACAUCCGCCGCUGCAAGUGCAAAUCCAAGGGCUACCAUCUUUCGAUUCCAAAAAUUUUCCUUUUUCUCCUCGUAGAUCCUUCUCCGGUUCAUGGUUCUUUUUUCAUUUUUCAUUUCAUUUCAGAUUUUUUUUAAAAAAAAUUGUUUUUGAAUAGUGUUUUGGUUCAGUGAGGAAAGCGCCGAGCUUUGUGGUAGUCAGAUCUGAUGGAACCAUGAACUUGGAUUUUCAUUCUUGGGAUUUUCAUUCUUGGAAUUUUUGUGAGUGUUUCUGUAUUAGGUUUUAAGAAGCCGAACUAAUAGCCUUGCUUAGCAGCAAGCACUACAUACCAACGCCAGCUGAAGAUGGAGAUAGAGAACUAGAACCCUUUUCAACUUGAUGUGAGAAAUCUCCUCGCUUUUAACCCUUUUCACAACUUUCCUUCCCACCCCACUUCCAGGUUUGCCCAUUUUAUUUCACAACGACUCUUUGAUUCGUCAUUGCUGUCAAUAAGUAGCACAAAGAAUUUAAAUUUUCCUUUAUUUGUUCUCUGUGAAUUGAUUUAAUGCUUGAAGAUUGAAUUAAAAUUUGAGAGAGAAGUUAGCCUGUUACCUCUAACGUUUUAAGAUGGAUCCUUUAGCUACGGUCAGCGAAGAGCUAGCGGAGAUCGACGGACAAGUCGCCGACAUUUUUUGAGCUUUAUCAUAAGACUUUAAUUUCUUUUUCUUCUUUGUUUAUGCGAUGUAAGAAUUUAAUUUCUUUUUUGAGCUUUAUCGACAUUUUUAUUCAUUUUUAACUCUCUGGGUUUUUAUUCUUUUGAUUGUUUUAUAACAGUUUCUUCUUAAAGGAUAUGUGAUAUACGAAAUCCAAGAGUUGAAUCCAGGUGUUCAUUUAUUCAUACACUAUUCUACUUUAUCUUGUUUUUAUCACAAUGUUUCAUAUUUGGUCUAUAAAUUUCAAGAAACUUCGUUUGGCAGAUAACAAUUUACUUCAUGGAGCUUGCUACCCCACAUACAGAAGAAGUAAUAAAACUUGUUGAUAAAGUUGGCGAUUUUGAGUGGUUAAUUCAGAAAUCUCCAUUAUCUUAGACUUGCAAAGUAGAACAGAACACUAACUGUUUUGGUCCCUUUUAAUAGAAACUGAACUCUCUAGGAUUUUUGCAUUAUUAUUUAGUAUGAACAUUACUAAUGUAUUUCCAUAUGGCAGGUUUGUUCAACUUGAUGUGGGUCUUCUAAAGGUCAGAAAUAAAAUAAGUUGAGCAUAUUAGGUUUGUCACCUAAAGGGCUCUGUAGAUUGUUUUAGAUUGGCUUGAUUUUUUAUUCACUCAAUAUUUCUCUUUAUCUCUCCAUUUGAUCCUGUUCUAGCAUCAUUUAGUACUUGUUCUCAUAUGUUCAUUGAUAUUUAAGUUAUGUUCUUUUGUGUUCGAUUAUUUUAGGUGCUGCUGAAGAAGCAACCGCAGUUUUUGGUCAAGCAGCUGCUCUUUGUGUUCAAAAGCAGUACGUAGAUCAUGGGGCAGCUAGCCCAAAUUUGUAUAUUUUCAGUCAGGAUUAUAAUUUGUUUUUGUCGCGGAAUACAUUGAAUCUGAGAACUUGAGUGAUCUAGAAGAUGUUGAUACAU
rnacentral:lncRNA from 1 species